rnacentral:rRNA from 1 species
GCAGUGGGGAAUAUUGGGCAAUGGGCGCAAGCCUGACCCAGCAACGCCGCGUGAAGGAAGAAGGCUUUCGGGUUGUAAACUUCUUUUGUCAGGGAACAGUAGAAGAGGGUACCUGACGAAUAAGCUCCGGCUAACUACGUGCCAGCAGCCGCGGUAAUACGUAGGGAGCGAGCGUUGUCCGGAUUUACUGGGUGUAAAGGGUGCGUAGGCGGACUGGCAAGUCAGUGGUGAAAACUAUGGGCUUAACCCAUAGACUGCCAUUGAAACUGUUGGUCUUGAGUGAAGUAGAGGUAGGCGGAAUUCCCGGUGUAGCGGUGAAAUGCGUAGAGAUCGGGAGGAACAUCAGUGGCGAAGG